rnacentral:rRNA from 1 species
AUGAACGCUGGCGGCGUGCCUAAUACAUGCCAGUCGAGCGAACGGACGAGAAGCUUGCUUCUCUGAUGUUAGCGGCGGACGGGUGAGUAACACGUGGAUAACCUACCUAUAAGACUGGGAUAACUUCGGGAAACCGGAGCUAAUACCGGAUAAUAUUUUGAACCGCAUGGUUCAAAAGUGAAAGACGGUCUUGCUGUCACUUAUAGAUGGAUCCGCGCUGCAUUAGCUAGUUGGUAAGGUAACGGCUUACCAAGGCAACGAUGCAUAGCCGACCUGAGAGGGUGAUCGGCCACACUGGAACUGAGACACGGUCCAGACUCCUACGGGAGGCAGCAGUAGGGAAUCUUCCGCAAUGGGCGAAAGCCUGACGGAGCAACGCCGCGUGAGUGAUGAAGGUCUUCGGAUCGUAAAACUCUGUUAUUAGGGAAGAACAUAUGUGUAAGUAACUGUGCACAUCUUGACGGUACCUAAUCAGAAGGCCACGGCUAACUACGUG